rnacentral:rRNA from 1 species
UACGUAGGGUGCGAGCGUUAAUCGGAAUUACUGGGCGUAAAGCGUGCGCAGGCGGUUCGUUGUGUCGGUGGUGAAAGCCCCGGGCUUAACCUGGGAAUGGCCAUGGAAACUGGCGAACUGGAGUGUGGCAGAGGGGGGUGGAAUUCCGCGUGUAGCAGUGAAAUGCGUAGAGAUGUGGAGGAACACCGAUGGCGAAGGCAGCCCCCUGGGUCAACACUGACGCUCAUGCACGAAAGCGUGGGGAGCAAACAGG